UACGGAGGGUGCAAGCGUUAUCCGGAUUCAUUUGGCUUAAAGGGUGCGUCGGCGGGUUGCUAAGUGUUCUGUGAAAUCCCCCGGCUCAACCGGGGAAUCGCAGGGCAUACUGGCAGCCUUGAGGCAUGUAGGGGCGGACGGAACUGUAGGUGGAGCGGUGAAAUGCGUAGAUAUCUACAGGAACGCCGAUGGUGAAGACGGUCCGCUGGGCAUGUCCUGACGCUGAGGCACGAAAGCGUGGGGAGCAAACAGG
rnacentral:rRNA from 1 species